rnacentral:lncRNA from 1 species
CCUUGCUCUUCCAACUGUCAUUCUGGUCCUGCCAGUCAACUUUAGAAUUCCAAAAUCCUCCAACUCCAUCUUAACAAGGGGAAGAAUAUUAUUAUUAGAAGGAGAGGAAGAGAGUGCUAAAAGUCCUAUGAUAACCCAGAUCUUCUCCAUUGUCAGAAUCAUGCCCAAAUUCAUACCUGUUGUAUUCUUCUGGAUCAGCACCUUCAGUUUGAUCUUCACAAUGAAGACCAUCAUAAGCCUCUUCCUCCUUUCCUUUGUCUUGACUGUCAACAGUCAGAAUGCAGAUAGAAAGUGGUUUGGCGAAGGUAAGGAUAUAUUGACUAGUAAGACCUUAGUACACCUGUCUAUACCUUCUACUUGCACAAAAAUCAACUAUG